rnacentral:rRNA from 1 species
CCUACGGGUGGCAGCAGUGAGGAAUAUUGGUCAAUGGGCGGAAGCCUGAACCAGCCAAGUCGCGUGAGGGAUUAAGGCCCUGCGGGUUGUAAACCUCUUUUGUCGGGGAGCAGCGGCCCGGACGUGUCCGCACAGGGAGAGUACCCGGAGAAAAAGCAUCGGCUAACUCCGUGCCAGCAGCCGCGGUAAUACGGAGGAUGCGAGCGUUAUCCGGAUUUAUUGGGUUUAAAGGGUGCGUAGGCGGGCUUUUAAGCCGGCGGUAAAAUGGCGGGGCUCAACCCAGGCCUGCCGUUGAAACUGGGUGCCUUGAGUGGGCGAGAAGUAUGCGGAAUGCGUGGUGUAGCGGUGAAAUGCAUAGAUAUCACGCAGAACCCCGAUUGCGAAGGCAGCAUACCGGCGCCCAACUGACGCUGAGGCACGAAAGUGCGGGUAUCGAACAGGAUUAGAUACCCUUGUAGUC